UCGUGUCCCCCCCCCCAAGUCUUUCGGGUUUUUUCUGCCUCUCGGUCAUUUCUUUUUGCAUUUCGCGGAAGUUUUCAGCAAAUCCACCCGUGCUCCCAGCUCUCGCAGGGCGCGAUAACACCGGAGCCCUCUGAAAGUUUGAGAAAAAGAGAGGAGGAGGAAGAGGAGGAGGAGAAAUAGGGAGAGAGAAAAUAAAGAGCAACACCUAAGGAAGAGCGAGAAGUUCCUGCAGGAGCUGGACACUGCAGAGGGAUACACCCAGCCCCGCUCCGUGGACGGGAACCGCGUGAACCUGGAUUCGUGUGGGUGUCACGGGCAUCCUAAAAAACAUUUUUUAUCCGAGCAGGGAAAAUACAGAUUAUGGGAAUCACCUAAAGAGCUCCUGAGGCUGUUUUUUGUUGCUGUUGUCUUCAAAAAAUGUUCAGUGCAAAAAGAAAAAAAAUAUCCACAGGAAGAAAAGGGGAAAAGAGCAUUUUUCCCCUUAUAGGGACUUGCCCCUUGUGCCAGGGCUGGAGGAGGCCACGAGCUAUAAAUCUUAGGGCCCAGUGCGCUGCGCGGUCGCGGGUGGCUCCACGGCAACCAACGCAGAAGAGAAAUCGGUUUCCGAGGGGCAGAGACCCACGGGUGUGCGGGGAAGUACCAGCGAUAUUUGCCAGCAGCGGGCCUCGUCCGUACCCUGCUGCCCGCAGCGUAGAGCUCUCAUUCUGAGACUCGCAGGUAGCUUUUUCCACGCAAACAGAGGUGCGGAACGGGGCUGAGUAUUUGGGUGCGGAUAGAUGCUGGUGUUGGCACUCGGUUUGGUGACCCCGAUUUUCUAUGUGCGCCUCCAUCUAUAAAUCGCUGUAGGUUUAUGCCUGUUCCAUGUACAUUAAGCGUUCAUGCAGGAUACGUGCUUGCCUGUUUUAAUCUAGGUGGAGAAGUGGUUGUGGGCAUAGAAAAUCCUGCUUUCACGCAUUUGAGAAAUUACUAGGAGCUCAUUCCGUGCCUCACUGUUGGGGUUUUGGGGUUGGUUUUUGUUUGGGUUGGUUUU